UGUUAAAAAUUUCAUCUAUUUUUACUGUUAAAAAUUGGUAUGACUAACGGAAUAACUAGACAGUUACACGUGGCAUGCCACAUGUACCUCAUUCUAGUGUACAGGAAUCAAUUUUUUAACAAUAGAAAUAAAUGAAAUUUUUAACA
rfam:Gossypium hirsutum cultivar TM-1 unplaced genomic scaffold scaffold2312.1, whole genome shotgun sequence